UCCGCCAUAACUCAGUUGGUAGUAGCGCAUGACUGUUAAUCAUGAUGUCGUAGGUUCGAGUCCUACUGGCGGAG
rnacentral:tRNA from 1 species